rnacentral:rRNA from 1 species
UGGGGAAUAUUGGACAAUGGGCGAAAGCCUGAUCCAGCCAUGCCGCGUGUGUGAAGAAGGUCUUCGGAUUGUAAAGCACUUUAAGUUGGGAGGAAGGGCAGUAAGCGAAUACCUUGCUGUUUUGACGUUACCGACAGAAUAAGCACCGGCUAACUCUGUGCCAGCAGCCGCGGUAAUACAGAGGGUGCAAGCGUUAAUCGGAAAUACUGGGCGUAAAGCGCGCGUAGGUGGUUCGUUAAGUUGAAUGUGAAAGCCCCGGGCUCAACCUGGGAACUGCAUCCAAAACUGGCGAGCUAGAGUAGGGCAGAGGGUGGUGGAAUUUCCUGUGUAGCGGUGAAAUGCGUAGAUAUAGGAAGGAACACCAGUGGCGAAGGCGACCACCUGGGCUCAUACUGACACUGAGGUGCGAAAGCGUGGGGAGCAAACAGG